UCCCUGGAGGACUAAUGGUUAGGUCACAGUGCUCUCACCACUGCAUCCCAGGUUAAAUUCCUGGCCAGGGAA